UUUCUUGUCUCCAUUCGGGCCACCUGAUUACAUCACCAUCAUGUUCUGGGCUUCAUUUCUGAGCUUCUUGGCAUUGUGGGGCACAGCGUCAACCUCACCAAGUGUGGUGUCUCAACCUCCGUCAGCCUCAGUGUCCCCAGGAAACACGGUGAAACUCGCCUGCACCUUGGACAGUGGCAUCAGUAUUGGAAGCUACAGGAUAAGUUGGUACCAACAGAAGACCUCAGGUCCUCCACAUUUUCUCUUGCACUUCUACACAGAUUCUGACAAGGGACAAGGUUCUGGAGUUCCUUCUAGAUUCUCUGGUUCCAAAGAAACCUCCGCCAAUAGUGGUUAUUUAACCAUUUCUGGAGUUCUGGCUGAAGACGAGGCUGAUUAUUACUGUGCUAUCUGGCACAGCAGCACGUUUCACAGUGAUAUCUUCUAAUGAAGAAGUGAGACAAAAACCUCCCAUCUCCACAGCU